rnacentral:rRNA from 1 species
AUGCACGCUGGCGGCGUGCCUCAUCCCUGCAAGUCGAGCGAACAGAUGAGGAGCUUGCUCCUCUGACGUUAGCGGCGGACGGGUGAGUAACACGUGGAUAACCUACCUAUAAGACUGGGAUAACUUCGGGAAACCGGAGCUAAUACCGGAUAAUAUAUUGAACCGCAUGGUUCAAUAGUGAAAGACGGUUUUGCUGUCACUUAUAGAUGGAUCCGCGCCGCAUUAGCUAGUUGGUAAGGUAACGGCUUACCAAGGCAACGAUGCGUAGCCGACCUGAGAGGGUGAUCGGCCACACUGGAACUGAGACACGGUCCAGACUCCUACGGGAGGCAGCAGUAGGGAAUCUUCCGCAAUGGGCGAAAGCCUGACGGAGCAACGCCGCGUGAGUGAUGAAGGUCUUCGGAUCGUAAAACUCUGUUAUUAGGGAAGAACAAAUGUGUAAGUAACUAUGCACGUCUUGACGGUACCUAAUCAGAAAGCCACGGCUAACUACGUG